GGGGAUGUAGGCAAAUCGGUUAAGCCACCUGACCUUCAAUCAGGAAACUGCGCGUUCAAGUCGCGUCAUCCCUA
rnacentral:tRNA from 1 species